rnacentral:rRNA from 1 species
GGAAUAUUGGACAAUGGGCGAAAGCCUGAUCCAGCAAUGCCGCGUGAGUGAUGAAGGCCUUAGGGUUGUAAAGCUCUUUUACCCGGGAUGAUAAUGACAGUACCGGGAGAAUAAGCCCCGGCUAACUCCGGGCCAGCAGCCGCGGUAAUACGGGGGGGGCUAGCGUUGUUCGGAAUUACUGGGCGUAAAGCGCACGUAGGCGGCUUUGUAAGUUAGAGGUGAAAGCCCGGAGCUCAACUCCGGAACUGCCUUUAAGACUGCAUCGCUUGAACGUCGGAGAGGUAAGUGGAAUUCCGAGUGUAGAGGUGAAAUUCGUAGAUAUUCGGAAGAACACCAGUGGCGAAGGCGACUCACUGGACACGUAUUGACGCUGAGGUGCGAAAGCGUGGGGAGCAA